AGGGAUAUAUCAGGUUGCAUUUCCUAAUUUUGAGGAAUUGACAUUGGAUAGUAAUAGCGCCACAGAAAUACAGCAAGAGCAAUUUCCAGUGGAGUCCAUUUGCAAACUUCGAGUUCUGAAUGUACUUAGAUAUGGAGAUAAUUUGGCUGCAAUUCCAUCCUUUAUGCUUCAUACGUUACAUAAUCUGGAAAAGCUCAAUGUGAGAAGAUGUGGUUCAGUCAAAGAGGUUGUAUAGCUUGAAGAACUUGUUGAUGAGGAAAGUCAUGCCAUGGCACUUGCUAAGUUAAGAGGAGUACAACUGCACGACCUACCUGAGCUGACGCAUUUGUGCAAGGAAAACUUCAAACGAGGCCCUCGUUUUCAAAAUCUUGAAACUCUUCAAGUAUGCAACUGUGACUGUUUGAUAAGUUUGGUACCAAACUCAGUGACAUUCCAGAACCUAGCAACUUUAGAUGUAUGGUCUUGUGGAAUUCUGGUUAAUUUGCUACCACCAUCAACAGCUAAAAGUCUGGUGCAACUCAAAAACCUCAAAGUAGGUGGAUCAGAUAUGAUAAAAGAAGUAGUUUCCGGAGGAGGCGAAGCAACAGAGGAGAUUGAUUUUUGCAAAUUAGAACACAUUGCACUUGUUUGUUUAGCAAACCUGACAAGCUUCUGUUCAGGAGGCUAUACUUUCACAUUCCUAUCCUUGGACCAUCUGGUAGUGGAAGAAUGCCCGAAGAUGAAAGUUUUCUCUCAAGGCUUCUCAACCCACACCAAGGCUAGAGAGAGUAGAUGUGGCAGAUAAUGAAUGGCAUUGGGAAGGUGACCUCAAUACCACCAUUCAAAAGUUGUUUAUACAGCUGCAUGGUUGAGGUAGAAGUUUCUUGGUUGGAAUAGCUGAAAACAAGGAAAAUGAAAGGGCUUGUUCUAAAGAAGAGUUCACAGCUAGAAGAGAGUUCACAGCUAGAAGGGAUUUGUAGGAAGGCAAAUGUGGUCCUAGAAGCAGAUAGAGCAAUGGAAUAUGAGCUGUCCAUGGUUUUUUGUCCUUGAAUAAAUUGAGCAUCAAGUUGCCGAGGUUAAAGAGGAAGGUUUUAUCUGGAAAGAAAUGCUUGAAACAGUUGAGAAACGGUUAGCAGCAUGUGAGAAAGAGAGUUGGUUCGAGAAACAAUGAUGAUAAUUGAUGCAUUGGUGGAAGCGUUACUCAGCUUACUCCCAGUCAUGUUGAGAAAUCUUGUUCUUCAGUUAAUAAACUUCCAGUGGUGAUCAUGAUAUGGUAUUCGAUAUAAUGGGUAUCCAAGAUAGAUAGCAUAAUAUUUCUGAUGAUUGGAAACCCCAUUAGUCAAGUUUCCAGAUUCAUAGUUUAUCUCUACUUUUUAGCCUUACAUUUUCUCAUGUGUAAGAUGCCUUUUGAGAUAUUUAUCUUGUUCUGAUUCAAUGAAAAGUAACUAAAUAUAUUUAGUCCAAUUUUAUUUUUCUAUUCAAAUUAGGGAUAUGCAUGUCAGGGUCAGUAAUAAACUAAACAUUAGUUGGUAGUCCAUGUAACAGUGGAGGUCAUUUUAUAGUGAUUGAGAGUGAGGCUAGCUGAUGAGGCAUAAACAAAUUCUGAACUUUUAUUUUAAUGGAAGGUGAUUCUCUCAAGUUGGUCACAUGUAAGUGCCUAUGCUAAUUUUAAUGCUUCUUUAAUCUGCAA